AGUGCAGGACUUGUCUAAAUAGGCAUACAAAUCGUAAUUGUGUUACUUGCCAUCUGAGAAAAAUGGGCAGUUGAGUUAGGCCAAUGUCUUGUGGUUUCCUCAACAAUCAUUUUUCUCAUAGUU